UCCAGCAUGGCAGCACAUUCAGAAACAAACUACUCUCUGCUUUUCCACCUUUCCCAGAGCCCACAGGGCUGCCAAUGAACCAGCAGGGCUCCAGAAACAAAUCAAUGCCUGGCUCUCUUCCCAAAGACGAUUCCUAGCUGUGCUACCAUUGACGAGGGGUGGCUAAUGCUGAUAAGGCUCAUUAUUUGUUCUGUAAUUAUCUCCUGAAACUUCCCGUUUGCUGAGGAAGAAAGAAGAGCAAAAUGCAAGCUCUUUGCAAGAAGGAUUUUUCUAUGGGCCAUAACCAGUGCUCUCAGAUAAGAGAGCAAUAGUGAUAACACUGCUUCCAAAGCAGGGGGUGGUUUAUGCUCAUUAAAAACCAAAUUUCACAUCCA